rnacentral:rRNA from 1 species
AACGAACGCUGGCGGCAUGCCUAACACAUGCAAGUCGAACGAGACCUUCGGGUCUAGUGGCGCACGGGUGCGUAACGCGUGGGAACCUGCCCUUAGGUUCGGCAUAACUCCCCGAAAGGGGUGCUAAUACCGGAUAAUGUCUUCGGACCAAAGAUUUAUCGCCUUUGGGUGUGCCCGCGUUGGAUUAGCUAGUUGGUAGGGUAAAAGCCUACCAAGGCGAAGAUCCAUAGCUGGUCUGGGAGGAGGGUCAGCCACCCUGGGACUGAGACACGGCCCGGAUGUCUACGGGAGGCAGCAGGGGUGAAGAAUGGACACCGCGCGAAUGACUGAGGCAGCAGUGUCGUGUGAGUGAGGAAGGAGUGAGGGACGUAAAUGUAUUUUACCCUGGACGAUAAUGACAGUACCGGGAGAAUAAGCUCCGCUUAACUCGGU